rnacentral:rRNA from 1 species
GAUGAACGCUGGCGGCGUGCCUAAUACAUGCAAGUCGAGCGAACGGACGAGAAGCUUGCUUCUCUGAUGUUAGCGGCGGACGGGUGAGUAACACGUGGAUAACCUACCUAUAAGACUGGGAUAACUUCGGGAAACCGUAGCUAAUACCGGAUAAUAUUUUGAACCGCAUGGUUCAAAAGUGAAAGACGGUCUUGCUGUCACUUAUAGAUGGAUCCGCGCUGCAUUAGCUAGUUGGUAAGGUAACGGCUUACCAAGGCAACGAUGCAUAGCCGACCUGAGAGGGUGAUCGGCCACACUGGAACUGAGACACGGUCCAGACUCCUACGGGAGGCAGCAGUAGGGAAUCUUCCGCAAUGGGCGAAAGCCUGACGGAGCAACGCCGAGUGAGUGAUGAAGGUCUUCGGAUCGUAAAACUCUGUUAUUAGGGAAGAACAUAUGUGUAAGUAACUGUGCACAUCUUGACGGUACUUAAUCAGAAAGCCACGGCUAACUACGUG